rnacentral:rRNA from 1 species
UACGUAGGGGGCAAGCGUUGUCCGGAUUUAUUGGGCGUAAAGAGCGUGUAGGCGGCCAGGGAGGUCCGUUGUGAAAACUCGAGGCUCAACCUCGAGACGCCGAUGGAAACCCCCUGGCUAGAGUCCGGAAGAGGAGAAUGGAAUUCCUGGUGUAGCGGUGAAAUGGCGCAGAUAUCAGGAAGAACACCCGUGGCUAAGGCGGUUCUCUAGUACGGUACUGACGCUGAGACGCGAAAGCGUGGGGAGCGAACAGG